rnacentral:rRNA from 1 species
GUGGGGAAUAUUGGACAAUGGGCGCAAGCCUGAUCCAGCCAUGCCGCGUGAGUGAUGAAGGUCUUAGGAUUGUAAAGCUCUUUCACCGGGGACGAUAAUGACGGUACCCGGAGAAGAAGCCCCGGCUAACUUCGUGCCAGCAGCCGCGGUAAUACGAAGGGGGCUAGCGUUGUUCGGAAUUACUGGGCGUAAAGCGCACGUAGGCGGAUAUUUAAGUCAGGGGUGAAAUCCCGGGGCUCAACCCCGGAACGGCCUUUGAUACUGGGUAUCUUGAGUGUGGUAGAGGUGAGUGGAAUUGCGAGUGUAGAGGUGAAAUUCGUAGAUAUUCGCAGGAACACCAGUGGCGAAGGCGGCUCACUGGACCACAACUGACGCUGAGGUGCGAAAGCGUGGGGAGCAAACAGGAUUAGAUACCCGUGUAGUCC